UGUGUCUACUCCACACAAUAGGCACAGGAUCACUGUUAAAAAGGAGGAAACAUCCGUCUGACUCACGGUGCGGCAGUGUGGAGACCUGUCGUAAUGCUUCCGCUGUAUUACCCGGCGGAACGCGAGAGCGUGCGCGAAAGACUCGGCACGUUUAGAGUCGAAACAGCAUGGCA
rnacentral:ncRNA from 1 species